ACCGCCCCAGGACCCUGUCCGCAGGAGCAGCACAGCAGGCAGCUGCAGGGCAGUGGGAGGAGCUGUCGAGUCAGCUCUUCUACUACGGAGGGGAACUGCAGAGCCAGAAGAGCACGGAGCAGCAACUCGCAGCCCAAUUGGUGACGCUGCAGAAUGAACUGGAGCUGGCGGAGACCAAAUGCGCCUUGCAGGAGGAGAAGCUGCAGCAGGACGCGCUGCAGACAGCGGAGGCCUGGGCCAUAUUCCAGGAGCAGACCGUAGUCCUGCAGGUGUGACGGGCAGCUUCGCAGAGUGCAGUACAGCACCGAGUCGCUCAUGGAGGAGAUGGCCAGGGCGGACCGAGAGACGCGGCUGUUCGGCGGUCCUCGCGCGCUGGCCAUCAGGCGCUGCUGACGCUGCCGCUCCUCUUCCUGGGGCUGUCGCUGCUCUGGACGGUGCUGUUGGACCCCGGCGCCGUCUCCGCGUGGCUCUGGAGCCUCACCUCGGAGACGACGCUGCGCCGCCUGCGCUACACGCUGUCCCCGCUGCUGGAGCUGCGCGCUAACGGGCUGCUGCCAACCUAAGUGCAGCGCCCCGCGCCUGGCUCCAGGUGGACUCCAGGGCACCGGCUUUAUUUCUGGUGCACUCCUCUCCUGAGAGUGUAGACCAAGGUCGCCUAAUAAACUCCUCAAGGGAUGAAGCUCGUGGGUUCGUCGUCUGUCUCCCAUGUCAUGUAGGAGCUUGACUGGCUUUUCAGCCUCCAAAGAUUCCUUCCUUUCUUACAGCUCAUGGAUUUAGAUCCACUCCCCAGUAUUGUAAACAGCAUUUUUAGUUUUUCAGGAUACAUAAUUUGCCAUAUUGCCAGAAACUUGUACAUAGCAUUUGACACUUUUUUCUUUGCCAAUUUGACAAGCUGCUUUUUUCAAGUAUUGUGAUUUGAAAUUAUUUCUACUAUAUUUGAAUUUAUUUCUACCAUUUGUAACAUGUUGAUCCUGAUUUUUCAAUGCUCCCCUUUCCUUCUGUUUGAUUAUUUGGGAAGUCACACUCUGUAUUCUGGUAUUCUUACUACUUGAGCUCAGCUCAUUGCUGUCAUCUUCCCCUAAACCGCCUUAAAGCAUCUUAGGUCUUUUCCCUCUGAUCACAUGUGCUACUUUUUUUUUUUUUCUUUUCUUUUGAGAUGGAGUCUUGCUCUGCGCCCAGGCUGGAGUGCAGUGGCAUGAUCUCGGCUCACUGCAAGCUCUGCCUCCCGGGUUCCAGCGAUUCUCCUGCCUCAGCCUCCCAAGUAGCUGGGACUUCAGGCGCCUGCCAUCAUGCCCGUUUAAUUUUUUGUAUUUUUAGUAGAGACAGAGUUUCACUGUGUUAGCCAGGAUGGUCUCGAUCUCCUGACCUCGUGAUCCGCCCACCUUGGCCUCCCCAAAGUGCUGGGAUUACAGGCAUGAGCCACCGUGCCUGGCCAACAUUUUCUCCAGAUAUCUUACCGAGUCCUAAUUUCCACUGCGGACAGAGAAUACACUCUGCGUGAUUUUAAUUCUAUCUCAUUUACUGAGACUUGUUUUGUGGCCCAGCACAAAGCUUGUAAUGAACAUUGAGAAGAAAGUGUAUUGUUGCUGUUGACAGAGUGAUUUUUUUUUUGAGACGGAGUCUCGCUCUGUCGCCAGGCUGGAGUAUAGUGGUGUGCAAUCUCGGCUCACUCCAACCUCCACCUCCUGGGUUCAAGUGAUUGUCCUGCCUCAGCCUCCCGAGUAGCUGGGACUACAGAUGCAUGCCACCAUGCCCAGCUAAUUUUUGUAUUUUUAGCAGAGACAGGGUUUCACUGUGUUGGCCAGGAUGGUCUUGAUCUCUUGACAUUGUGAUCCGCCUGGCUUGGCCUCCCAAAGUGCUGGGAUUACAGGUAUGAGCCACCGUGUCAGGCCGACAGAGUGUGUUCUAAAUACCCAGCAGGUCAAGGUGAGUGACAGGCUUGUUCAGGGCUCCUGUGUUUACUUUCUUGUUGGUAGCGCCGUCAAUUGCUUAUUGUGAAAUGCCCCUUCAUAAACACCCAUACACAUUUUGAUUAUGGAUGGCCCGUCUUUUUUCCAUCUGUUAUUUUCAUCUUAGAUCUGUCUUCAUAUGUAAAGUGCUUUGGUUAUAAUCAGCACAUAACUGGGUCUCACUUCUUCAAUUCAUGUUUAUAAUCCCUGACUUUUAAAUUGGGCUGGUAAGUCUAUUAUGUUUCUCCUUUUCUGCC
rnacentral:lncRNA from 1 species